UUACGGGAGACACACGGCGGGUGCUAACGUCCGUCGUGAAGAGGGAAACAACCCAGACCGCCAGCUAAGGUCCCAAAGUCAUGGUUAAGUGGGAAACGAUGUGGGAAGGCCCAGACAGCCAGGAUGUUGGCUUAGAAGCAGCCAUCAUUUAAAGAAAGCGUAAUAGCUCACUGGUCGAGUCGGCCUGCGCGGAAGAUGUAACGGGGCUAAACCAUGCACCGAAGCUGCGGCAGCGACACUAUGUGUUGUUGGGUAGGGGAGCGUUCUGUAAGCCUGUGAAGGUGUGCUGUGAGGCAUGCUGGAGGUAUCAGAAGUGCGAAUGCUGACAUAAGUAACGAUAAAGCGGGUGAAAAGCCCGCUCGCCGGAAGACCAAGGGUUCCUGUCCAACGUUAAUCGGGGCAGGGUGAGUCGACCCCUAAGGCGAGGCCGAAAGGCGUAGUCGAUGGGAAACAGGUUAAUAUUCCUGUACUUGGUGUUACUGCGAAGGGGGGACGGAGAAGGCUAUGUUGGCCGGGCGACGGUUGUCCCGGUUUAAGCGUGUAGGCUGAUUUUCCAGGCAAAUCCGGAAAAUCAAGGCUGAGGCGUGAUGACGAGGCACUACGGUGCUGAAGCAACAAAUGCCCUGCUUCCAGGAAAAGCCUCUAAGCAUCAGGUAACAUCAAAUCGUACCCCAAACCGACACAGGUGGUCAGGUAGAGAAUACCAAGGCGCUUGAGAGAACUCGGGUGAAGGAACUAGGCAAAAUGGUGCCGUAACUUCGGGAGAAGGCACGCUGAUAUGUAGGUGAAGCGACUUGCUCGUGGAGCUGAAAUCAGUCGAAGAUACCAGCUGGCUGCAACUGUUUAUUAAAAACACAGCACUGUGCAAACACGAAAGUGGACGUAUACGGUGUGACGCCUGCCCGGUGCCGGAAGGUUAAUUGAUGGGGUUAGCGGUAACGCGAAGCUCUUGAUCGAAGCCCCGGUAAACGGCGGCCGUAACUAUAACGGUCCUAAGGUAGCGAAAUUCCUUGUCGGGUAAGUUCCGACCUGCACGAAUGGCGUAAUGAUGGCCAGGCUGUCUCCACCCGAGACUCAGUGAAAUUGAACUCGCUGUGAAGAUGCAGUGUACCCGCGGCAAGACGGAAAGACCCCGUGAACCUUUACUAUAGCUUGACACUGAACAUUGAGCCUUGAUGUGUAGGAUAGGUGGGAGGCUUUGAAGUGUGGACGCCAGUCUGCAUGGAGCCGACCUUGAAAUACCACCCUUUAAUGUUUGAUGUUCUAACGUUGGCCCGUUAUCCGGGUUGCGGACAGUGUCUGGUGGGUAGUUUGACUGGGGCGGUCUCCUCCUAAAGAGUAACGGAGGAGCACGAAGGUUGGCUAAUCCUGGUCGGACAUCAGGAGGUUAGUGCAAUGGCAUAAGCCAGCUUGACUGCGAGCGUGACGGCGCGAGCAGGUGCGAAAGCAGGUCAUAGUGAUCCGGUGGUUCUGAAUGGAAGGGCCAUCGCUCAACGGAUAAAAGGUACUCCGGGGAUAACAGGCUGAUACCGCCCAAGAGUUCAUAUCGACGGCGGUGUUUGGCACCUCGAUGUCGGCUCAUCACAUCCUGGGGCUGAAGUAGGUCCCAAGGGUAUGGCUGUUCGCCAUUUAAAGUGGUACGCGAGCUGGGUUUAGAACGUCGUGAGACAGUUCGGUCCCUAUCUGCCGUGGGCGCUGGAGAACUGAGGGGGGCUGCUCCUAGUACGAGAGGACCGGAGUGGACGCAUCACUGGUGUUCGGGUUGUCAUGCCAAUGGCACUGCCCGGUAGCUAAAUGCGGAAGAGAUAAGUGCUGAAAGCAUCUAAGCACGAAACUUGCCCCG
rnacentral:rRNA from 1 species